rnacentral:rRNA from 1 species
GACGAACGCUGGCGGCGUGCUUAACACAUGCAAGUCGAACGGAAAGGCCCUGCUUUUGUGGGGUGCUCGAGUGGCGAACGGGUGAGUAACACGUGAGUAACCUGCCCUUGACUUUGGGAUAACUUCAGGAAACUGGGGCUAAUACCGGAUAGGAGCUCCUGCUGCAUGGUGGGGGUUGGACAGUUUCGGCUGUUGGGGAUGGACUGGCGGCUUAUCAGCUUGUUGGUUGGGUAGUUGCUUACCCAGGCUUCGACGGGUAGCCGGCAUGAGAGGGGGACCGGGGACAUUGGGACUGAGAGACGGCGCAGAGUGGUACGGGAGGCAGCAGGGGGGAGUAUUGCACAAUGGGGGGAAGCGUGAGGAAGCAGCGCCGGGUGCGGGAAGAAGGCCUUCGGGGGGUAAACCGCUGUCGCCUGUGACGAAGCGGGAGUGACGGUAAUGGGUAAAGAAGCACCGGCUAACUACGUG